rnacentral:rRNA from 1 species
AUACGUAGGUGACAAGCGUUAUCCGGAUUUACUGGGCGUAAAGGGCGUGUAGGCGGUCUUGCAAGUCAGAAGUGAAAUUCCUGAGCUCAACUCGGGCGCUGCUUCUGAAACUACAGGACUUGAGUGCUGGAGGGGAUAGCGGAAUUCCUAGUGGAGCGGUAAAAUGCGAAGAUAUUAGGAAGAACACCGGUGGCGAAGGCGGCUAUCUGGACAGUAACGGACGCUGAGGAGCGAAGGCGUGGGGCGCAAACAGGAUUCGAUAGCCUGGUAGUCCACGCGGUAAACGAUGAUCACUAGGUGUUGGCACGCAUAGCGUGGCGGUGCCGCAGCAAACGCAAUAAGUGAUCCACCUGGGGAGUACGUUCGCAAGAAGGAAACUCAAAGGAAUUGACGGGG